rnacentral:rRNA from 1 species
CCUGGCUCAGAUUGAACGCUGGCGGCAUGCCUUACACAUGCAAGUCGAACGCGAAAGUGGGGGCAACCCUGCGAGUAGAGUGGCGAACGGGUGAGUAACACAUCGGAACGUACCCAGGAGUGGGGGACAACCUCGAGAAAUCGAGGCUAAUACCGCAUACGUCCUGAGGGAGAAAGCGGGGGAUUCGCAAGGACCUCGCGCUCAUGGAGCGGCCGAUGUCGGAUUAGCUAGUUGGCGGGGUAAGAGCCCACCAAGGCGACGAUCCGUAGCUGGUUUGAGAGAACGACCAGCCACACUGGGACUGAGACACGGCCCAGACUCCUACGGGAGGCAGCAGUGGGGAAUUUUGGACAAUGGGGGCAACCCUGAUCCAGCCAUGCCGCGUGAGUGAAGAAGGCCUUCGGGUUGUAAAGCUCUUUCGGCCGGAACGAAAUCGGC